UUGUAUAGUAUAUGAUUUUAAUCUAUUUUAAUCUAUAGUAAUGGUAUUUUACCCAUGUCUUAUUUUGGGAUAUUUGUAACUUCUGCUGUCUUUAUUUUAGUAUUCUGGAAUACUAUGGUUUAUUUUGAAAAUGUUGCUCAGAUGUCGCAUGUAUUCCCAUUCUAGAUUGAUAGAUAGAAUUUACGGUAGCGUUCUUUGGCCCGCUGUCCAAAGAACAUAGAAAACAAUACGGAAUGCGAUCAUCUCAUGUGCGGUGGCACCACAAAGUAGAUUGCAGAAGUUAACUCAGCAGCAUGGACGCGUUCCAGGCAGUUACUGCGACCGCAAGGGGGUAAGUAUUACUAAAAAGAAGCACACAAGUUUCAAACUUGCCGAGUGGACAGUGAAGCAGAAAAUAGAUUUGUCAAAAAGUGUGAGGAAAAUAUGCACUGUCUGCCGACUCACAUUUUCCAUAGUCCAUGUGGAACUGACUCACCUUAAGCAACACGGUGGACACGAACGAAAAAACGCACAACUAAGCAAGGGGGAACCUGGACAGAUCCAUCAGGCAACGACAAAGAUGGUACGUAAAUAUUUUUUUAAACCCUCUCAAGGUUAAUAUGAGAAUGUACAAUGGAUGUCUAUCGUAUAGAAAAAGCUAUAUUUGCUUUUGGGUGUAAUAAACGACCAGGUAAAUGGAUAGAUAAUACAUAAAAACCAUUCGUUUGCAUACAUUGAUAAAUAAAAGAUCAACAUUAUGUGGCACUUGCCUCCCCAGAACUUUUGGUUUAUACGAAGUUUUUUUUUUUCUAUGGAAGAAACCCAUGCGCCCAAGUGCAAUAUGUAUUUUCGCCAGUAGAGGACGCUGAAAAUAAAUGUUGCACAGCGGAUGAGCUGUCUUCAUCAUUUCUGUCUGUAACAAUUGCACACACAGCCUUACAUUUGUAACUAGUUUUAGGAGAUGUGCAUAUUUUUUCAUUGGACAUGCAAUGUAAUUCUGUCAACCUUUAAAUAAACUGUUAUUUUAUUUUUAAUGUGGAUAGAGGAUUUAUUUUUGGUGUUUCCGAUUUUACUGCAGAUUAUCCAGACAUCCCCAACGUCAAAGCAGCAGUAUUUUUGUCCUCAGCAUCCUUAUUUUCCACAAAGGUGAAUUGCUUUGAUCAGAGUUCAUUCGCUUUGACCAAAGGCUGCCGACUGAGUCCCAACCCACCCCAACCCACCCCAACCCUCUUUGUCGCUGCUCCACCUUUUGUCUCUGACUUCUUUCACUCACUGUCCAUCUUGUGGUGUUGAUAAGACAAUCUGAUGUGUGGAUAAGACAAUCUGAUGUGUGGAUAAGACAAUCUGACUUGUGGAUAAGACAAUCUGACUUGUGGAUAAGACAAAAACCCUUUUUGGGCUGUGCAUUGAAAUAUAUCCCCUUGCAUCGGGGCCUGACUGUUGAGACUUUAUUACCUGUUGUGUGGAAUCCAAUUGAGAAAAGUGCAAGACACGAGCCAUGCCACGCAAAAGCAAGAAGGCGCAAGCUGCCAAGGUAAGCUGGCAACAGCGUAAAAACAACACAGACUCUGGAAGUGCAGAUAAACCAACAACUGCCAAAGAAUUGAUGGCCAUUGGACCUGAAAACUCUAUGGAGGUAAUGAUGUCUACAUCUCAUGAUCCUGUAACAUGUGUUUUGGCAUCCUACAGUCAAGAUCAUCCAAAGUAUGCUGAUUCCAGAAACAGUCAGUGUGCUGCAAACUCUGCUACAUUUCUAGCUUUUCUGCAGGAGAUAGAGAAUGUGACCAGUGCUCACCUGGACCUUGUUCUCGAUCGAGGCAAUGAGCUCUAUGUGGCUACUGUGGCUGUGCUGAAAGCAGAAGGACGGUACGAACAUCAUCAUUUGGCAACCGAUGAAAUCCCAUCCAUUGUGAAUGGCUUGCACAAACAGCAUGUGUUAAUAAAGUAUCAGUCAAUGUA